UGCUGACCAAAGCAUAAUGUCAAUUUCAUUAAUUCACUCUAAAUCUACUCAAAACUAACCAGUCCCUCCUUUUUUCAGGAAAUAAGCCAAACUGGACAUCCAAAGGGUGUAGCACCUUUAAUGCAGAAAGCAAUAUAACGUGUGAAUGCAAACAUUUGACUUUCUUCGCUGUGCUUAUGACCCCUCCAAACGUACCCAUUGCCCAAAGCGACCUCACUGCUCUCACCUACAUCACCUACAUCGGCUGCGGCCUCUCCUUGUUUUUCCUGUCCAUCGGGCUCUUCAUGCACUUCAUCAUGAGGAGAGUGAAGGCCACUGAUUCUCUCCGCGUGCUGGUUAAUCUCUUCGUGGCGCUGUUCCUGCUCAACGUGGCCUUCCUGUCGAAUGAGUACGUAGCGCUUGCGAAGGACAUCACCGCCUGCAAGGUCAUGGCUGGAUUCAUGCACUACUGCUUGCUGGCCAGUUUCAACUGGUUUGCGGUGGAGGCUUUUCACCUCUGCCUGCAGAUG
rnacentral:lncRNA from 1 species